GUGAAAUUCCGUCGGAAUCUGGGAGGACCAUCUCCUAAGGCUAAAUACUCUCUAGUGACCGAUAGUGAACCAGUACCGUGAGGGAAAGGUGAAAAGCACCCCGGAAGGGGAGUGAAAUAGAACCUGAAACCGUGUGCUUACAAGUAGUCAGAGCCCGUUAAUGGGUGAUGGCGUGCCUUUUGUAGAAUGAACCGGCGAGUUACGAUUUGAUGCAAGGUUAAGCAGUAAAUGUGGAGCCGUAGCGAAAGCGAGUCUGAAUAGGGCGUUUAGUAUUUGGUCGUAGACCCGAAACCAGGUGAUCUACCCUUGGUCAGGUUGAAGUUCAGGUAACACUGAAUGGAGGACCGAACCGACUUACGUUGAAAAGUGAGCGGAUGAACUGAGGGUAGCGGAGAAAUUCCAAUCGAACCUGGAGAUAGCUGGUUCUCUCCGAAAUAGCUUUAGGGCUAGCCUCAAGUGAUGAUUAUUGGAGGUAGAGCACUGUUUGGACGAGGGGCCCCUCUCGGGUUACCGAAUUCAGACAAACUCCGAAUGCCAAUUAAUUUAACUUGGGAGUCAGAACAUGGGUGAUAAGGUCCGUGUUCGAAAGGGAAACAGCCCAGACCACCAGCUAAGGUCCCAAAAUAUAUGUUAAGUGGAAAAGGAUGUGGCGUUGCCCAGACAACUAGGAUGUUGGCUUAGAAGCAGCCAUCAUUUAAAGAGUGCGUAAUAGCUCACUAGUCGAGUGACACUGCGCCGAAAAUGUACCGGGGCUAAACAUAUUACCGAAGCUGUGGAUUGUCCUUUGGACAAUGGUAGGAGAGCGUUCUAAGGGCGUUGAAGCAUGAUCGUAAGGACAUGUGGAGCGCUUAGAAGUGAGAAUGCCGGUGUGAGUAGCGAAAGACGGGUGAGAAUCCCGUCCACCGAUUGACUAAGGUUUCCAGAGGAAGGCUCGUCCGCUCUGGGUUAGUCGGGUCCUAAGCUGAGGCCGACAGGCGUAGGCGAUGGAUAACAGGUUGAUAUUCCUGUACCACCUAUAAUCGUUUUAAUCGAUGGGGGGACGCAGUAGGAUAGGCGAAGCGUGCGAUUGGAUUGCACGUCUAAGCAGUAAGGCUGAGUAUUAGGCAAAUCCGGUACUCGUUAAGGCUGAGCUGUGAUGGGGAGAAGACAUUGAGUCUUCGAGUCGUUGAUUUCACACUGCCGAGAAAAGCCUCUAGAUAGAAAAUAGGUGCCCGUACCGCAAACCGACACAGGUAGUCAAGAUGAGAAUUCUAAGGUGAGCGAGCGAACUCUCGUUAAGGAACUCGGCAAAAUGACCCCGUAACUUCGGGAGAAGGGGUGCUCUUUAGGGUUAACGCCCAGAAGAGCCGCAGUGAAUAGGCCCAAGCGACUGUUUAUCAAAAACACAGGUCUCUGCUAAACCGUAAGGUGAUGUAUAGGGGCUGACGCCUGCCCGGUGCUGGAAGGUUAAGAGGAGUGGUUAGCUUCUGCGAAGCUACGAAUCGAAGCCCCAGUAAACGGCGGCCGUAACUAUAACGGUCCUAAGGUAGCGAAAUUCCUUGUCGGGUAAGUUCCGACCCGCACGAAAGGCGUAACGAUUUGGGCACUGUCUCAACGAGAGACUCGGUGAAAUCAUAGUACCUGUGAAGAUGCAGGUUACCCGCGACAGGACGGAAAGACCCCGUGGAGCUUUACUGUAGCCUGAUAUUGAAAUUCGGCACAGCUUGUACAGGAUAGGUAGGAGCCUUUGAAACGUGAGCGCUAGCUUACGUGGAGGCGCUGGUGGGAUACUACCCUAGCUGUGUUGG
rnacentral:rRNA from 1 species